UAGUCCCACAGACAAACGUGAAACAUCCAACGUCGCCACGCUCAGAUUCUUAAACCCCAAAGAAAGCGACCCUUUAUAUAUAAAAGGUUCCCCAAAAGCCUCGAAUGUUAAGCACAAGAGCGAUGACGACACUCCGUUUGAGCACCAUGUCUGGCGCUAAGACGUUAACCUCGUCGUGUUCGUCAUCAGCGUCGUCGUCGAUGGCCCUGAGAAGUCCUAGCCUGCAUUUGCAAUUCCCUUCUAGUGGUCAGAGGCUCUCCAAUGGAGUUGUUCUUCGCGGGAACCGUGUCUCGUUCGCUUCUUCUUCCACCCGCUUCGCUCACGCCUCGCUGCGUUGCUUCGCGUCUUCGGCUGGCUCCGAUAGGGUGCGGGUAGAGAAUCCUAUUGUGGAAAUGGACGGUGAUGAGAUGACGAGGAUCAUAUGGAGAAUGAUAAAGGACAAACUUCUAUUUCCAUAUCUGGAUUUGGAUAUAAAGUAUUUUGAUUUGGGAAUUUUGAAUCGCGACGCUACUGAUGACAAAGUUACUGUAGAAGCUGCUGAAGCAGCUCUUAAGUACAAUGUUGCUGUAAAGUGUGCUACCAUUACUCCUGAUGAGACCAGAGUCAAGGAAUUUGGGCUGAAGUCUAUGUGGAGGAGUCCCAAUGGCACUAUCAGAAACAUCUUAAAUGGUACUGUUUUCCGUGAACCUAUCCUAUGCCGUAACAUUCCCAGAAUUGUUACUGGUUGGAAGAAACCCAUAUGUAUUGGUAGGCAUGCAUUUGGUGAUCAGUAUCGUGCAACUGAUACAGUCAUUGAAGGGCCAGGAAAGCUUAAAAUGGUUUUUGUCCCCGAAGAUGGAAACACACCAGUGGAACUUGAUGUUUUUGAUUUUAAAGGACCAGGCAUAGCGCUUGCUAUGUAUAAUGUUGAUGAGUCUAUUCGAGUUUUUGCUGAAUCGUCCAUGUCAAUGGCAUUUGCGAAGAAGUGGCCUCUUUACUUGAGCACCAAAAACACAAUUCUUAAGAAAUAUGAUGGCAGGUUUAAGGACAUAUUCCAGGAGGUCUAUGAAGAGAAGUGGAAGCAAAUGUUUGAAGAUAAUUCAAUAUGGUAUGAACAUCGGUUAAUAGAUGACAUGGUUGCUUAUGUCCUAAAAAGCGAAGGUGGAUAUGUUUGGGCUUGCAAAAAUUAUGAUGGGGAUGUGCAGAGUGAUUUACUUGCUCAAGGAUUUGGCUCCUUGGGCCUCAUGACUUCUGUGUUGUUAGCCUCUGAUGGGAAGACAUUAGAAGCUGAGGCAGCUCAUGGGACUGUAACUCGCCAUUUCCGAUUACAUCAGAAAGGUCAAGAAACCAGUACAAACAGCAUUGCUUCUAUAUUUGCAUGGACACGGGGGCUAGAACAUAGGGGCAAGUUAGAUAAAAACGAAAGUUUGCUGGAUUUUGUUCACAAGUUGGAGGCUGCAUGCAUUGAGACUGUGGAGAUGGCCAAAAUGACCAAGGAUCUUGCCAUUUUGAUCCAUGGAUCCAAGGUAUCGAGGGAACAUUAUUUGAACACUGAAGAAUUUAUUGAUGCUGUUGCACAUAAUCUUGAGGUCAAGCUUCGAGAACCUGCACUGGUUACCCUAUGAGAUGGUCAUUCAGGAAAUCCCCAAGGCAGGGAGAAUCUUGUGAGGUUUAGUUGUUAGACUUAUGGCUACUACUGCUCUGCACAAGAAAGGAAGGCUGGUUCCUCUGCUGACACAAGCUGGAGCUGUUGCCAAGGUUUCGGCUUGAAGAAAUGUAGCUAUCUUUUCCAUGAAUAAGGUUUAAUAAGUGGUAGCUUUAUGGUGUUUUUGUGUUUUGUAUCAAACUUUUUCAAAAUCCUAAAUAAAAUUGGACUUGAAGGUUGUUUGUGUA